UACGAAAGGGUGCAAACGGUUGCCCGGAAAUUAUUGGGCGUAAAGCGCACGUAAGGCGGCUUGGCAAGUCGGAUGUGAAAUCCCUCGGCUCAACCCAAGGAAGUGCAUCCCGAAAACUGCUGAGCUUGAGUACGAAAGAGGAUCGCGGAAUUCCCGGUGUAGAGGUGAAAUUCGUAGAUAUCGGGAAGGAACACCGGUGGCGAAGGCGGCAUCCUGGAC
rnacentral:rRNA from 1 species